GCCUUCUAAGCUCGUUCUUCCGCCUGCUUCCCCCCUCUUUUCCUUUCUCCGCCAUCGUGGUGUGUUCUUGCCUCCACUUCUCGCCAUGUCUUCUCACAAGACUUUCAGGAUUAAGCGAUUCCUGGCCAAGAAACAAAAGCAAAAUCGUCCCAUUCCCCAGUGGAUUCGGAUGAAAACUGGAAAUAAAAUAAGGUACAACUCCAAAAGGAGACAUUGGAGAAGAACCAAGCUGGGUCUAUAAGGAAUUGCACAUGAGAUGGCACAUAUAUUUGUGCUGUCUGAAGGUCACGAUCACAUUACCGUAUCAGACUGAAAAUGUCACCACUCUCUGGAGAGUUCGACGUAUUUUCCUCUCUGAAUCUAUUAUGAAUGCGUUGGUUGGCUGGGUUCAGUAAUAAAUAUGUGAGGCCUUUCAUUUCAA